UUCUAUUGUGUGUAAACGGAUUAAAUUAGUUAUAAAUGGUUAUAUUUCAUGCAUAUUUAUACUACCUUGGGUUUAUUAUGAGGUAUUAAGCCCCAAAAUUGGAUAAAUAUCGGCAAUAUACCGACCGAAAAGCACUUCAUGUGAAGACCGAAAAGCACUCAAUUUCUCGCUAUAUAUAUGAAUAUUUGCGUUUCUAUUGUGUGUAAACGGUUUAAAUUAGUUAUAAAUGGUUAUAUUUCAUGCAUAUUUAUACUACCUUGUGUUUAUUAUGAGGUAUAAAUGCCCGAAAUUUUAUAAAUAUCGGCAAUAUACCGACCGAAAAGCACUUCAUGUGAAGACCGAAAAGCACUCAAUUUCUCGCUAUAUAUAUAUAAUAUUUGCGUUCCUAUUGUGUGUAAACGGUUUAAAUUAGU